rnacentral:rRNA from 1 species
UACAGAGGGGGCGAGCGUUGUUCGGAAUUACUGGGCGUAAAGGGCGCGUAGGCGGCCUGCUAAGUCAUACGUGAAAUCCCUCGGCUCAACCGAGGAACUGCGUCUGAUACUGGUUGGCUUGAAUUCGGGAGAGGGAUGCGGAAUUCCAGGUGUAGCGGUGAAAUGCGUAGAGAUGUGGAGGAACACCAGUGGCGAAGGCGACUCUUUGGCCUGUAACUGACGCUGAGGCGCGAAAGCGUGGGGAGCAAACAGG